ensembl:snRNA U6 U6 spliceosomal RNA
UGCUCGCUUCGGCAGCAAUAGACUAAAAUUGGAAUUAUACAGAGAAGACAAGCAUGGCCCCGAUGCUAGAAUGACAUGCAAAUUUGUGAGAGCAUGCCAUAUUUUU